UUAUAAAACAGUGUUAUCUCAUCAGCACAAAUGAGGCAAUUGGUGAAUAGCAGUCCCAAGGAAAUUUGCUGUAAGUGUUUGUGUCACUGCAUUUUAUUCUUCCUAGGGUUGGUUAACUCUUUCUCUUUAUAGCUACAAUUUUUUUUUUAAUUAAAAGUAUAUAAUCUUGCUCUUUGGAGGUGAUGGUAGUGAUUUUUGGGGUGGUGAUGCUUUUUAUUUGUUUGGGGUAGGUUUUGCUGGCUUUGGAUUUUGGUUGCUUGGGGUUGUUUGUUUUAGUUUGGUUUGUUUUAAAAAACCUGUUUAUUUUGUCUUCAGAAGAACUAACUAUUUACUAAGUUGAGAUGGGAUAAUCAGUGCACUGCAGUGAGUGUUGACAGGAACUGAGAAAUAUCUCCAGUGUCUGGCAGGAGUAUAUUCUUGAAGUACACAGCACAAUUCAUACUGCUUCUUCCCCCUUUCUCAAACAUUCCUCGGAGAUGGGCUGGUUUCUUCUCUUCCUAGUCAACAUCCUUUACUGCUUUUUGUUUCUCUCUGAGGCCACUGAAGUCCUAGUAUUUCAGCUGGUUUACUUUUAUUUUAGUCUUGCUGGAUGGGAGGCAUUUUCUUAUUUGUCAGAAGAAACCAUACAUGACCAUGGGACAAUUUUAACCAGUCUGGAGAUAAGCCUACAGCGACAGGUCAAGUAGUAAAUAUAAAGAUGCCUGUACAUACUGACAAGUAUUUAAACUUGUCAAGAAUAAUAAAUUUUUCAGCAGACAGGGAAAAUAAAAAGUCUUUGAUAAAAGAAACACUAAUAGAGAAGCAUGGGAAAAGAAUCUACUUGAAAGAAGAGUAAUAAUAAAAGAAAACGGGGUAGUAACAAAACGAGUAUUUGAAGGAGAAGAAUUGUGGUAAAACACACUGAAGAGCCUGUUGAACUCUAGGAAACCUUAGCUGAGGAACAAAGGGAAUAUUCACUAUGAAGAAGAUGGAGACAUUGAUAUACCAUAACCUUUUCAGGAUGGGCACUUGCUGGAAAAUCUGAAAUUUAAGAAACAGACUCAACAGAAUUACAAAUAGAGUAAGCAUCACCCUGCCACUGUGAUUAGGCAGCAUUCAUCUGGACACCUACAGCUCAACAGACUUUCUAGGAACCUUAGGACAAAAUAGGUGAAUUGCUAAAGUAAUAGCUAAUCUUGUUCCUUGUGUCCUCGUGUUCUUCAAAAUGGGUGUGGGUGUGCAUGACACCAAACUUUAGAAAAAUGUUCCACAGAUUUGCUAUAUAUUCUAUGUUCUAUGUGUUUGUCAAUCACUUCCAGAACCUGUAUAAACUUUCAUCCAACACUUUCUCUUAACAAGGGGUCCCACAGAUGUGCUGCCUAUUGUAUGGAGGGGAAAAAUACUUAGAAACGAACAAUUAUUUUGUUUUUUUAAACCUUAGUGGAAUAAAAUAUCUGCUCCACCACCAUAAGCUAUUUCAGAUAUAUCUAUAAACUCUAUCGUUUUGGACAUUUCAAUUAAGAUAUUCCCCUUCGUAUUUUAUUUCUAUUUCCUUUGAGAAUUUAUUUAAUUAUUAUUUUGAAAAAAAUACUGAGUAAUGUACUGGUUGCACAGUACAAUUGCAUUAAAAUAGAUUCCAAUUCAAAUAUAUAUAUAUUUAAUAAAAUUUAGACAGAUAGACUUGAAGGAAAAAAAAUAUUUACAAGAACUAUGGUUUCUUUUCAAACAAUGAUAAGACUGAUGUACAAAUAAUGUAGCACUAUCAUCUUUUUCUGUUUUAUUUGUUUUAGCUAGAAUUUCACGGCAUUGAAACAUAUAUUGCUUCAUGAAAUCUUUUAAGGAAUCUAGUCCGAUUAGGGGCAACAUGCUAAGUCCAUCUUGUAAGAGGCAUUAAUGAGAUUACCUUCACUUAAGUGCAUUCUUUGUGUUAUAUGUUGUAUAACUAAAAUGUAUUAAUUGUUGGCUUUGACAUUCACAUCCAUGCAGGUUAUAGAACUAGAGUAAUAGACUAAUUUUAAUGUAAAUUUUUGAAAUUGUAGCUAGGUGUAUGCAUAGUCUGUGGGUGGUUAUGUACCAAAGAAAGUGUAUAGGAAGAGUACCUGUGCACAGAGUACAAUGUUUGGAAAAGGGAAUAACAGGCUGACACUAGUUCUUUGGACACACCUGCAGAACAAAUGUGUUUGAUAUUGUACUUCCAUUUCAAAUGAUGAUGUUUCUGUGUAUAAAGCUAUAUAAAUACAAAUAUUUUGCAAGAGCUCUCUGUUUAUGUAUAACUAAAGGCUGCAGCAGUUCCAUGUUCAUAACAUAUAUGAAAAAAUCUAGUUACUUAAAGUCUUACAAUGCUAUUUGUGGUAAAUAGCAAAUAAUGCACAAGCUGAAGGUGUCGAAAAUAUCUGUUGAUGUUGAUACUCUAUGUUGAUACUCUAUAGGCUUAUCCUUCAUAUGUGAAAUCUUCCACUAAAGAAAUCCAAACUGUUCUUGAUAAACACUUUUCACUUCUUCUCCUUUCAAUACCAUACUAUAUAAUUUAUUUUGAUACUAUGUAAGUUUCCUCCACAUCCAAACAUGUUAAAAAAUUAUUGGAAAGUAAUUUACUGUUUCUGACUUAGGUCUGGGUGCCUUUGACCUGUUCCAUUGUCAACUUUUUUAAACUGAAUAUUUUUAAUCCUAUGCUUUGUCUCACCUGGAUUUACAUAAAAGUCACUAUAUAUGAUGACAUUAAAAUUUUGCCUUAUUUUAAUAUUUUCUGCUGAGAGAGUUGCAUAUGCUUCAUAAAAUGUUUUCUAUAGAACUGUAGGGAAUUCUAGACAAGGUAUGCAAUAAAAAGGAAAAUGUUUUGUCAAUCAGCAUCCAAAAAGUCUAUGUCUUGAAAAGUACUUAUGGGACUGAUUCUUAUCAAUAUUUUUGUUUCAGAUUCUUCAGAAAUAUUAGUUCAAAUAAUUACCUCUAUCCUAUUUGCUGACCCUGAAACUUCUACACAUUUCUGAAGUUCGGUCUUGUUCCAAUUUAAUCAAAUCCAUUUUUACUUUAAAGGCUGGAUUUUAGCUAUCCCCAAAAUUGGAAGUGAUGGUCAGAAAACUAAUUUUCAGACCAGUUUAUCUAUUUGUAAUGUAUCGUGUGUUCACUCUUCAUAGUUUUCUGUGUGCACCAUGAUUAAUAAAAAUGUUUAUUAAAAAUGUUUAAAC